rnacentral:tRNA from 1 species
UAUAAGGUGCCUGAAAUUAAAGGAUAAUUUUGAUAGAAUUAAUCAUGUGCUUAGCACCCUUAUAA